rnacentral:tRNA from 1 species
CAAUAAGAGAAAUAAUACUCACUUUCGGCUUACAAGACCAAUGCUCUAGAUUUAAGCUAUUAUUGC